rnacentral:rRNA from 1 species
GACGAACCGUGCGAACGUUGUUCGGAAUAACUGGGCUUAAAGGGUGCGUAGGCGGGUGCGCCAGUCUGUGGUGAAAUCCUCCCGCUCAACGGGGGAACUGCCGGGGAUACUGCGGACCUCGAGGAAGAUAGAGGCGUGCGGAACAGAUGGUGGAGCGGUGAAAUGCGUUGAUAUCAACUGGAACUUCGGUGGCGAAGGCGGCACGCUGGGUCUUUUCUGACGCUGAGGUACGAAAGCUAGGGGAGCAAACGGG